GCACAAGCGGUGGAGCAUGUGGCUUAAUUCGAUGCGACGCGAAGAACCUUACCUGGGCUUGACAUGCAGGGUGAAGCCGGUGAAAGCCGGAGCUCUACGGAGCCUGCACAGGUGGUGCAUGGCUGUCGUCAGCUCGUGCCGUGAGGUGUUGCCUUAAGUGGCGCAACGAGCGCAACCCUUGUCCUCAGUUGUUAGCGGGUCAUGCCGGGAACUCUGAGGAGACUGCCGGUGCCAAACCGGAGGAAGGUGGGGAUGACGUCAAGUCAUCAUGCCCCUUAUGUCCAGGGCUGCACGCAUGCUACAAUGCGCGAUACAGAGGGCUGCGAUCCCGCAAGGGGGAGCGAAUCCCAAAAAGUCGCGCUCAGUUCGGAUCGGGGUCUGCAACCCGACCCCGUGAAGUCGGAGUCGCUAGUAAUCGCGGAUCAGCAAUGCCGCGGUGAAUACGUUCCCGGGC
rnacentral:rRNA from 1 species